rnacentral:rRNA from 1 species
GACAGAGGGUGCAAACGUUGCUCGGAAUUACUGGGCGUAAAGCGCGUGUAGGCGGACUGGUGUGUCGGAUGUGAAAUCCCCAGGCUCAACCUGGGAACUGCAUUCGAGACUGCCAGCCUUGAGUGGUGGAGAGGGAAGUGGAAUUCCUGGUGUAGAGGUGAAAUUCGUAGAUAUCAGGAGGAACACCAGUGGCGAAGGCGGCUUCCUGGACACCAACUGACGCUGAGACGCGAAAGCGUGGGGAGCAAACAGG